AUUGUUUAAUCAUUUCAGGCUGAGGGAAAGGUGUGCAUCCACAAAAGGCCAAAGCCACCAGCUGCAACAAUCCCCAGCUGAGUUUGGGGUGAGGGAAGAGCACAGCUCACAGAAGCCAGGUUUGCACACACUCCCCCCAACCGAGGGGGGAGGAGGAGGUUUUGGGUGCAUGGUGCAACCUCUGCUGAGAGGCAAUAAACAUCCAUCCUCUGAUUACACAAACCGGCCCAGCUGUGGAACCCCCAACCCCACAGGCCACAUCCAUG